ensembl:lncRNA
CAGGCGCUAGGACUCCCGGAGGAGAUGACACAGCCACCGGCUGGCACUUGUCGGCUCGGGCUGCACCGAACAUCAGCGGUCAUGACGACGCUCCCCGCGUCCCCAGGGACAGUGGCGCCAAGCCCGUCCAGAGCUGCUCCAGAGAGUGAGGGACCCAGCACGGCAUCUCUCUCCCUGCCUGUGGCUUGACAGGCCCACACUCUUGGCUCCCUGGGCAGAAAAGAUACGGAACUCCUCCUGGCGUGGCAGCAGCAAUACCCCUGUGCCUUUGGCCUCCGUCCCCUGGUGGCGUGGAGCCCAGAGACGCCAACAUCCUCUCGGACUAAGGAAGCCCUUCCAGAACUUGCCACCAGCCCCGGAAUCCUGGCUGCUCCCCCAGUGAUGGAGCAUUGGACGUGGUGGCUCUCGGGGCUGAAUUCCGGAGUGCUAACGUGGACCAGGAAUUUCAACCCUCAGAGCUCUUACGACGUUUCAUCCCACUCAGCGGAGACGUUUCCCUGCCCACACUCUCAGGUGCAUGCGUGGGGACUCGAGUGUGGUCCAGAAGGACGGAGAAAGUGCUUGGCACAGAGAGAUGAGGGGCAGUGCCCUCGACAGGAAGGAAUUCCGGCACCCACGCCAGCUCCUGGCUGUCUUCUUUCUGAGAUGACUGUUUCUAAGGGGAAGGAGGAGCAAGAUGAUGCCUCCAACCUGCAGGUCACGUCCAGGCAAGUCAAGUUGGAGUGUAAGAGUACCACUUACACUGGGCCCCAAGCGGUUUGUCGUCAGAGGGCCCCGUGGGAAACAGAGUGGCAGGGUGAUGGGGGGGGGGCAGGAGAGCCCAGCAGGAGUCCUGGGGUCACUGCUCGCACUCUUGCUACUUUGGAUGGGUUCUUUGCCUCCUUGGCCGUCUAUAAAUUGGCCCGUCUAUAAAUUGGAGCAGACUGCACACAGCAUAGGGUCGUGCCAAGGCUCCUGCAGAAUGAUCCGGGAAGACAGCUGGAAAUGACAAGGUGCUGAAACAUGUGUGAUGGUGUUGUUGUUCUUAAAGGAAGGGAGAAAGGAGGGAGAGCAUGAGAAGUGCGGGGGAAGGGAUUAGCCUCUAUUUAAAUUUUUUUUUUUUAAAUUUUAAAAUAGUUUUAAGUUUCCAGAAGAGUUGAAAAAAGGGUCUGAAGAGUUCCCACAUACGGCACAUCCAGUUUCUCCUACGGUCCAGCUCCUAUAUUAGGAUGGAACAUCUAUCCUGUUUCAUAACCAAUAUUGAUAACACUAUUGCUAACUAAUUUUUUUUUUCAACGUUUAUUUUAUUUUUGGGACAGAGAGAGACAGAGCAUGAACGGGGGAGGGGCAGAGAGAGAGGGAGACACAGAAUCGGAAACAGGCUCCAGGCUCUGAGCCAUCAGCCCAGAGCCCGACGCGGGGCUCGAACUCACGGACCGCGAGAUCGUGACCUGGCUGAAGUCGGACGCUUAACCGACUGCGCCACCCAGGCGCCCCCACUAUUGCUAACUAAAGUCUAUGCUUUCUUCAUAUUUCGUUUGUUUUGACCAAAUGUCCUUCCACUCUAGUGUUCCAUCCAGGAUCCCACAUUACAUUUCGUUGUCAGGUCCCCUUUAGGCUCCAGUUGGCUGGGCAGUUUCUCUGAUUUUCUUUGUUUUUGAUGACCCUGACGGUUUUCAGGAGUACUGGUCAGGCGUUUUGUAGAACGUCCCUACACUGGGGUUUGUCUGGUGUUUCCUCAUGAUUAGGGUAGGAUUGUGGAUUUCUGGGAGGAAGACACAGAGGUAAAGUGUCAUUCUCAUCACAUCAUAUCAAGAGUACAGGCAUCUACAUGACUUAUCACUCUUGAUGUUGACCCUGACGUCUGGCUGAGGUAGUGUGUAUAUGUGUUGAGUUUCUUUUUCUCCCUUCUCAUACUUUAUUCUUUUUUUUUUUUUUUAAGGUUAUGUAUUUAUUUUGAGACAGCUGUCAGUGCAGAGCCCCACAUAGGGCUCAAACUCACGAUCCACAAGAUCGUGACCUGAACGGAAGUCAAGAGUUGGACGCUUAACGGACUGAGCCACCCACGCUGCCCAUAGUGUAGACCUUGAAAGGGAACCACUGCGCACUCCACGCUCAACGAAUGGGGAGCUCUGCUCCACCUUCUUGGGGGAGGAGUAGUUACCUCGACUAUUUGAAAUCGUACCCCGUGGGAGAGUUGUCUAUUCUCCCCCACUCGUGUAUUCAUGUGAUCAGUACAGAAUAUUUCAUAUUCGUAUGUAUCAGUAUGAAUCAUGCAUAUUUGUUUUAUACUUGUGUUAUUUACAAUCCAGUACUACUUUAUUGCUCAGAUUAUACCAGUUUGGGUCACUGAGAGCUCUUUCAAAUGGCCGCUGGGUUCCUUCGACACACCCCCACCAUCGUGCAUUGUCGUUCGUUUGUUUUUCUGAGCACUUUCUCACUUUCUGACAUUACGAGAUGCUCCAGGAUCACCUUGUAUAUUCCCUGCCCAUCCUAAAGUCGGCCAUUUCUUCAAGAUGUCCUAAUUCCUUUUUAUCAGAGAAUGAUCCUAACAUCUGAAAUCUGGGCACCCGAUGCUCUCAUUGCAAAAAGGGUGUCAUUUCUUGUAUGCUCUGUUAGCUAACAGAUGUGUUUACACAUGUAAACAUGUAAAUAUGUGUUCACACCAACCUGUAUCUACAGAUAUUUUGUACGCAUCCCUCUGUGUCUGUAUUAGGCUAGACGUGAGUUCUUACUGACGUCUCCAAUGCUAAUCCCUGGCCACGUGAAUCAUUCCAGCCUCCCCGCUUUGUUUGCCUGUGUCCUGUCACUCCAGCAGUGAGGACCUUGGCUCCCGCCAUCGGCCACCCAUCUACUUCAGUUGUCAGUUCCAAAAUUCACAAUGGGUGGCUUCAGAAUCAUUAACGCGUGUCCCAUGGGAAACAACUUUACCAGUCGGAAUACAGUGUUACGUAUAAUUCCUUUUGCUUUUGGUUUUACAAUUUCCGCUCAUUUCCAGUAGUACUUGGGUCAGCACCUUUUAUACCCACCCAUUCAGGGGAGGGAUUUCCUGUAUUUGUAUUACCGUUAGAUUUAUUUAUUUGUUUAUUUUUGGUCAGACUCAGCAGUCCAUCCCAGAAUCCCCCAGCCUCUUGAAUAAUUUUUAAAAAUGUGCAUGCAUUUGAAAAUUUCCUGAGACGAAAACCCGGACGACUGAUUUUGGCUCUUUAUUUUUUUCUAAGACAUGCGUUUCACACUAUACACUUCCACUGUUCUGCAUUCUGUCACUAUGGGUUAGUUUCUGUUUUUAAAAUUUUUACGUGAACAGAUUUGUGCAGCGUGUGCCCCGCCCCUCCGGCUGCUUCACUCGGGGUAAUUAUCUCGGAUUCAUUCGUGUUCUUGCCUGUGUCGAUAGGUUGUCUCUUCUUACUGCUCAGUCAUAUUCCAUCAUGUGGAUGUGCCACUGUGUGUUCACCUAUUUACCUGUAGCUGUACCUCUGGAUUCUUUCCAGUUUUGAGCCAUUAAAAAUAAAGGUGCUGCUAGCAUUCGUGUGGGAGUCUUU